GAUGAAGAACGCAGCGAAAUGCGAUACUUGGUGUGAAUUGCAGAAUCCCGUGAACCAUCGAGUCUUUGAACGCAAGUUGCGCCCGAAGCCAUUAGGCCGAGGGCACGCCUGCCUGGGCGUCACACGUCGUUGCCCCCCCAUCUACUCCUUCGGGAUUGCGGGGGGCGGAUGAUGGCCUCCCGUGCGCCUCGUCGCGCGGUUGGCAUAAAUGCCAAGUCCUCGGCGACGCACGCCACGACAAUCGGUGGUUGCGAAACCUCGGUUGCCCGUCGUGUGCGGUCGUCGCGCAUCGAGGGCUCGAAAAAAUUGCCGGGCUCCGGCUCGGCUUUCAACGCGACCCCAGGUCAGGCGGGGUUACCCGCUGAAUUUAAGCGUAUCAAUAAGCGGAGGA
rnacentral:misc_RNA from 1 species